AGAAUUGCUCUUUUGCAUUUCUUUUACUCGUGUUAUACUUACCGAAUCCAGUGUCAAAACUUACUUCGAUAUUUAAAUCCUCUUAAUUCUUUAUUUAGCUGUGAGCAAGAUGGCCCCUUCUGUCUGCCACCAAAAUUUUUUGUACCUCGACUGUUUUCGGACAGGUUUCAGUGAGCACCAAAGGCUUGUCCCUCGUGAUCAAGACAUUGUCCUCCACU